rnacentral:lncRNA from 1 species
GUAAACUGUUUGAAAAGGCUGCAUGAAAUGUCUGCCUGUUUUUGGUGAGAUUGAGUUUUGGCCUGAAUAGACCAAUGAGAAAGCGUUCUAAACCUCUCUGCCAAUAACAGCUCGUUUUCAGUUUUCCCCUCCCCUCUCAGACCACUCCCCAAAUUCUUGCUUGAGAAAUGGCUCUUUGCUAAGAAGCUAUUUUAGUUUUUUUUACCAUUUUGAUUGAAAUCAAUCACAGUAAGGUAUUUAAAUGUUACUUACUUGAUAUUGACUUUUGUUUUUAAAAGGCUGAAUUGGACUUUUAAAUUACAACACACUAGAUUAGGGUUCGUACAUGGCCAUAACAGUGCUUGUUUAUGGAUGAUAGACAGAACACCGAGGCGACUACCUGUGGAUAUAACAGAGAAAGGUCGUCACCAAAAUAAAUGUUCAGUUGUCAGAUCAUGGACUUGCAAUAAAGUGAUUGGGAUCGUUGUCACAACCAGCAGAACUGAAGCAAGAUACAAAGACAAGUUUCUGAACAUGUUUUGUGAUUUGGUGACAGUGUUUCGCUGGGUCCUUCUUCUCAAAUGUGCUCCAGUCAUCUUCCAGACUACUGCUGUUUUUACGUUUUAAUAAAAGUAUGUGUUUUCUUACAUCCUG